rnacentral:rRNA from 1 species
GACGAACGCUGGCGGCGUGCUUAACACAUGCAAGUCGAACGAGGUCCAUGCAGUCGCCCGACUGCGGAAGAUCUAGUGGCGAACGGGUGCGUAACACGUGAGAAACCUGUCCCGGUCUCUGGAAUAACAAGUGGAAACACUUGCUAAUACCGGAUGCCGUCGGACCAUCGCAUGAUGGACUGACGAAAGGGCUACCGGAUCGGGAGGGUCUCGCGGCCUAUCAGCUUGUUGGUGAGGUAACGGCUCACCAAGGCAUCGACGGGUAGCUGGUCUGAGAGGAUGAUCAGCCACACUGGGACUGAGACACGGCCCAGACUCCUACGGGAGGCAGCAGUGGGGAAUCUUGCACAAUGGGCGAAAGCCUGAUGCAGCAACGCCGCGUGCGGGAAGAAGGCCCUAGGGUUGUAAACCGCUUUCAGCAGGGAAGAAACUGACGGUACCUGUAGAAGAAGGUGCGGCCAACUACGUG